rnacentral:rRNA from 1 species
AGCGGCAGGCUUACACAUGCAAGUCGAGGGGUAACAGGUCCCUUUCGGGAUGCUGACGACCGGCGCACGGGUGGGCUACGCGUAUGCAACCUGCCCAUAGCUGGAGGAUAGCCCGGAGAAAUCCGGAUUAAUACUCCAUAAUAUUUCGAAACCGCAUGAUUUUGAAAUUAAAGUUUCGGCGGCUAUGGAUGGGCAUGCGUGCCAUUAGCUUGUUGGUAAGGUAACGGCUUACCAAGGCUACGAUGGCUAGGGGUUCUGAGAGGAUGAUCCCCCACACUGGUACUGAGACACGGACCAGACUCCUACGGGAGGCAGCAGUGAGGAAUAUUGGUCAAUGGGCGCAAGCCUGAACCAGCCAUGCCGCGUGCAGGAUGAAUGCCCUAUGGGUUGUAAACUGCUUUUGUACAAGAAGAAUCUUUCCGACGUGUCGGGAAUUGACGGUAUUGUACGAAUAAGCAUCGGCUAACUCCGUGCCAGCAGCCGCGGUAAUACGGAGGAUGCAAGCGUUAUCCGGAUUCACUGGGUUUAAAGGGUGCGUAGGCGGGAUAGUAAGUCGAUGGUGAAAGCCUGCAGCUUAACUGUAGAAUUGCCAUUGAUACUGCUAUUCUUGAGUGCAGUUGAAGUAAGCGGAAUGUGUAAUGUAGCGGUGAAAUGCAUAGAUAUUACACAGAACACCAAUUGUGAAAACAGCUUACUAACCUGUAACUGACGCUGAGGCACGAAAGCGUGGGGAGCGAACAGGAUUAGAUACCCUGGUAGUCCACGCUGUAAACUAUGAUCACUCGCUGUUGGCGAUACACAGUCAGCGGCUAAGCGAAAGCAUUAAGUGAUCCACCUGGGGAGUACGUCCGCAAGGAUGAAACUCAAAGGAAUUGACGGGGGCCCGCACAAGCGGAGGAACAUGUGGUUUAAUUCGAUGAUACGCGAGGAACCUUACCUGGGCUUAAAUGCAGCUCGACGGACCGGGAAACUGGUCUUCCUUCGGGCGAACUGCAAGGUGCUGCAUGGUUGUCGUCAGCUCGUGCCGUGAGGUGUCGGGUUAAGUCCCAUAACGAGCGCAACCCCUAUUGUUAGUUACCAGCGAGUAAUGUCGGGGACUCUAACGAAACUGCCGGUGUAAACCGAGAGGAAGGUGGGGAUGACGUCAAAUCAGCACGGCCCUUAUGUCCAGGGCUACACACGUGUUACAAUGGCCAGUACAAAGGGUAGCUACCACGCGAGUGGAUGCUAAUCUCGAAAGCUGGUCUCAGUUCGGAUUGAAGUCUGCAACUCGACUUCAUGAAGGUGGAUUCGCUAGUAAUCGCGCAUCAGCAAUGGCGCGGUGAAUACGUUCCCGGGCCUUGUACACACCGCCCGUCAAGCCAUGGGAGUCGGGGGUACCUGAAGUCCGUAACCGAAAGGAGCGGCACUAGGGUAAACCGGCGACUGGGGCUAAGUCG